rnacentral:misc_RNA from 1 species
GGACCAUCCCGACCGGAAGCAUGUGCGGAUAGCACACGUCCGGGCAGAGUUCUUCAGGAGAAAUGGAAUCACUUCUUGAUGACAUGAUUCAUCACAAGUGAUGCCUUUGGACUCAGUAUUUUUUGUUCCACCGUUUACUCCUCUCCAAUUUUCAAAAGCCUAACUUCUUUCCGAUCUGGAGUGUUGUUCCCCAUCAACGAUUAAACUGUCUAUCGUGCCUGUCCUAUGCAAAAUGAUAUGCUUUUCAACGUUUUCAUUGUGAAGAGAAUUUGGUACACUGCUUUCCUUUACAUUGUCCAGGUGCAAUUGUUACACAGUUAAUAAUUAGUCAAUUUAUCUAUUAUUAUGUGUAUAUGUAUGCUAGACACAGUUGUGUAUUCAGAAAGUUUUUGACUGUAUAAUUAAUGGACUGUGAUAAAUUUGUGAUCAGAAAUAAAUGUUGCCAUUGUU